GGGGGCGAUCGGCUUCGACGGGGGCUACGAAAUCACUUGGUGCAUGCCGAGGGGGCAGCUUUCCUCGUUAAUCCAGCAGCAAACUUUUAGUUGCCAACGACGACAACUACGCACUGGCCGCUUAAGGCCUAAGCCGGGAACCCACUUGUGCUCAUGCUCGUGGAUGUACCGUCACUAUCAUGAGAUCGCUGGCGUUUGCCGCCUGACGGCCGUCGGCUAACUCCAAUCGGGCUGGUCCUUCGGUGCGCUUCGCCCACCGUGUUGCCGCAGGACGAGAUCGAACGGUGAGCUAUGCAUGUAGAGCCGGGGACGUAGGGCCUUCGGACGCGGGUUCGAUUCCCGCCGCCUCCACCA
rnacentral:tmRNA from 1 species